AUUGAACGCUGGCGGCGGGCCUAACACAUGCAAGUCGAGCGGAUGAAGGGAGCUUGCUCCUGGAUUCAGCGGCGGACGGGUGAGUAAUGCCUAGGAAUCUGCCUGGUAGUGGGGGAUAACGUCCGGAAACGGGCGCUAAUACCGCAUACGUCCUGAGGGAGAAAGUGGGGGAUCUUCGGACCUCACGCUAUCAGAUGAGCCUAGGUCGGAUUAGCUAGUUGGUGGGGUAAAGGCCUACCAAGGCGACGAUCCGUAACUGGUCUGAGAGGAUGAUCAGUCACACUGGAACUGAGACACGGUCCAGACUCCUACGGGAGGCAGCAGUGGGGAAUAUUGGACAAUGGGCGAAAGCCUGAUCCAGCCAUGCCGCGUGUGUGAAGAAGGUCUUCGGAUUGUAAAGCACUUUAAGUUGGGAGGAAGGGCAGUAAGUUAAUACCCUGCUGUUUUGACGUUACCAACAGAAUAAGCACCGGCUAACUUCGUG
rnacentral:rRNA from 1 species